CGCGGAGUGGAGAAGAGGUAUCUCGUUAGGCUCAUAACCUAAAGGCGCAGGUUCGACUCCUGCUUCCGCAA
rnacentral:tRNA from 1 species